AAGAGACGCACAAAGGGAGAUUUGAGACUCGGAGACAGAGGAGAGGCCGUGGGACACUGGCAGAGACUGGAAGGACGUGACCACAAGCCCGGGGACCCUUGGAGCUCCCAGAAGCUGGGAGAGGCAGGAAGGACCCUUCCCUGGAGCCUCGGGAGGGAGCGGCCCCGCCACGCCCCGGUUUUGGACUCCAGAUGCCACUGUGAGCUGGAGUAACUCAAACUCAACCGCCCACAGGGACCACAUUCCUGGCCAGGGAGCUGGGAAGUGUUUCCUGGGGGGAGGGGCAGAAAAGCAAAGCACGUGUCCUGUGCAUCAAGCUUCUUCAUGGGCGCGCCCAGGGAACCGAAGGCUGAGGCCUGGCCAGUGUCCCGAAGGAAGCUUUCACCCCCCUCGUCACUUGUCUCUGUUGGUUCAUGGGCUCGGCAUGUCAGCGUGGCCCCCCGUGCUGGGUCUCAUCAGACCCCAGGGGGAUGCUGAGGGGCAAGCCCAUGGAUCUCCAUCUGUGAGACUGAGCCAUCUGCAAAUGGGCUCAGCUGGGGAGGAUACGCCGCCCACACGGCCAUGUGAGUCCCUGGGGCAGGAACUGCUCCUCAUGCCCACCACAUGCAGGGAAAAAACACAAGUCCUGGAGACAGAUGCCGAGUCCCGUCUCUGCCCACCACCUUCCUGCUUCGAGACCCUGGGCGUGUCACCUCACCUCCCUGGCGUCGGUUUCCUCACCUGUAAAAUGGGGGCUUCAUCGAGGUUUAAUCUCCUACAGCUGAGCGUGAAGCCUGCACGUGGUAAGUGCCCAGCGAGUGCCGGCCCCUAGUAGCCCCACCCCCCAUUGCUGCCCUCAGGUGCUGACGUUCUGGAGGGGCCAAUGCAGACGCCCCCCUGAGACCAGGAAGACCAACAAUCCCACCAGAGAAGAGCGAACAGUGUCUGGCACCUGAGAGAAAGCCACGCCGGCUCACGCUAGACCUCAGUGGCCAAGCGGAUUUAAAUUUAAAUGUACAUAGUCACAUGUGGCUGGUGGCUCCUGUGUUGGACAGCAUCUCUCUAGAAUGUUCCAGCCCAGCAUUGUCCAACAGAACUUUCUGCAAUGACGGGAAUGUCCUGGAUCUGCGCGUCCAAGGGACCCUGGACCCUCUGACUGCAGGAGCUCCCAGUGGCCGGAGCUCAAACGCUUCAUCCUGGAAGGCACGGGACGCCCAGUUAAUUUGCAUUUCAGCUACAGACCAACUCUUUUUAGCAUAAGCAUCUCUCAAAUAUUGCAUGGGACGUGCUUUUACCUGACGACGAUGCGUUAUUUAUCCGAAAUUCCAAUUUCACGAGGCGUUGUGUAUUUUUAUUUGCUAACUCUGGUGACCAUGAGGACGGGACGGGGAGGAGAGGGGCAUCCACGCGUUUGCAGAGAGCUCCACCCCGUGGUUCCUAAAUUCUGC
ensembl:lncRNA